CAAUGAGGAGGUCGCUCUGGCAACCUGCAACUUAGUCCAGACUGUCUAUGACUUCCUGUCUGGGGCAGACAGGAAGGUUUAUGGCAAAGAGGAGGCCCUUGUGCUUGUGAGGAAGAAGUCCAAAUGUGAGACAGAGGUAGAGAAAAUGCAGGAGAAGAGAGAGAGGCAGCUACUGUAACAUCAAGAGCUAAGAGAAGAGAAGAGAGUGCAGGAGGUGGACAUGACAGUCACCAACUAUGAAAUGAUUCAAAUGAUCAGAGAUUUUAGAGCAAGCCUGGAUUACAGACCACUAAACACAGCUGAAGUGCAUUAUUUAUUAUCCUGCAAAGGAUGUUUGCCUGAUCUUUUUGUGAAAGUUUUGUGUGCUAAUUUUAAACAAGAUUUAUAAAAAAAAAAAUAAAAAAAAUUUUUUUUUAAAAACUGCGGUACUGUAAAUGUAAGAGUAAAGAGAAUCUUAAUGUUUGAAGAUUGAAAAGCACCGAAUGUGUUUGUGUGAGGAAGCACCCUCUUAACAAAAAAGGUGAAACAGAUUUAUGUAUAUUUUCACGAUAACUUAUUAAAAUGCUUUACCGCUGUUCUGAAUGUGUGUUACCUCCACUUUCUUAUAGCUACCAGGCUCAACAUAUUUUAACCCAUCCUAGAUGAUACUGAAUAAACCUUUUGAUUUCCUUUUAAUAGGAAUAGAAAUCUCAAAUAGCAUAAAAUAAAUAUAAAGACUGGAUGCGACAAUUGUCUUUCAAAUCACCAAGUGUGUGUGGUGAGCUGUGGUGUUCAAGGACAUGUCAUGUCUUGUAUUGUAAAACUCACUGCAAAGGAGCUGGAUGUGAUCACCAGCCCCGGUAAAGAUGUCGUCUUGGUCCAUGAGCAGAAAUGGAACUUCACCCGAUACCUAAAGAAUCAAACCUUUCGCUUCGAUUAUGCCUUUGACGACAG